rfam:Oryza glumipatula chromosome 1, whole genome shotgun sequence.
AAUAAGCAUAGCUGUCAGUUACCGUGUCCAAUGUUUGACCGUCCGUUUUAUUUGAAAAAUAUUGAUGAUUAGUAUUUUUAUUGUUAUUAGAUGAUAAAACAUGUAUAGUAUUUUAUAUGUGACCAAUUUUUUAAAAAAGACAGACGGUCAAAUAUUGGACACGGAAACCAACAAUUACGCUUAUA